UACGUAGGGUGCAAGCGUUGUUCGGAAUGACUGGGCGUAAAGAGCACGUAGGCGGGUCUGUAAGUUGGGUGUGAAAUCCCCGGGCUUAACCUGGGAACUGCAUUCAAAACUACAGAUCUUGAAUACCUGAGAGGCUGGCAGAAUUCCGGGUGUAGGAGUGAAAUCCGUAGAUAUCCGGAGGAACAUCGGCGGCGAAGGCGGCCGGCUGGCAGUGUAUUGACGCUGAGGUGCGAAAGCGUGGGGAGCAAACAGG
rnacentral:rRNA from 1 species